GAUGAACGCUGGCGGCGUGCCUAAUACAUGCAAGUCGAGCGAACAGAUGAGGAGCUUGCUCCUCUGACGUUAGCGGCGGACGGGUGAGUAACACGUGGAUAACCUACCUAUAAGACUGGGAUAACUUCGGGAAACCGGAGCUAAUACCGGAUAAUAUAUUGAACCGCAUGGUUCAAUAGUGAAAGACGGUUUUGCUGUCACUUAUAGAUGGAUCCGCGCCGCAUUAGCUAGUUGGUAAGGUAACGGCUUACCAAGGCAACGAUGCGUAGCCGACCUGAGAGGGUGAUCGGCCACACUGGAACUGAGACACGGUCCAGACUCCUACGGGAGGCAGCAGUAGGGAAUCUUCCGCAAAGGGCGAAAGCCUGACGGAGCAACGCCGCGUGAGCGAUGAAGGUCUUCGGAUCGUAAAACUCUGUUAUUAGGGAAGAACAAAUGUGUAAGUAACUAUGCACGUCUUGACGGUACCUAAUCAGAAAGCCACGGCUAACUACGUG
rnacentral:rRNA from 1 species